rnacentral:tRNA from 1 species
GGGUCAGUAGCAAAUUGGUAACUACGGCGGUCUCCAAAAUCGCUCGGGUGGAUUCGAUUCCCACCGUCCCUGCCA